GACGAACGCUGGCGGCGUGCUUAACACAUGCAAGUCGAACGGUGAAGCGCCUUCCUUUUUGGUGGGUGUGGAUGAGUGGCGAACGGGUGAGUAACACGUGAGUAACCUGCCCCCUUCUUCGGGAUAACCGCAUGAAAGUGUGGCUAAUACGGGAUAUUCUGGGUCUGUCGCAUGAUGGGUCUGGGAAAGAUAUUGUUUCGGUGGGGGAUGGGCUCGCGGCCUAUCAGCUUGUUGGUGGGGUGAUGGCCUACCAAGGCGGUGACGGGUAGCCGGCCUGAGAGGGUGGACGGUCACACUGGGACUGAGACACGGCCCAGACUCCUACGGGAGGCAGCAGUGGGGAAUAUUGCACAAUGGGCGCAAGCCUGAUGCAGCGACGCCGCGUGAGGGAUGGAGGCCUUCGGGUUGUGAACCUCUUUCGCCAGUGAAGCAGGCCUGCCUCGUUUGUGGGUGGGUUGACGGUAGCUGGAUAAGAAGCGCCGGCUAACUACGUG
rnacentral:rRNA from 1 species